CCAGGAGCCCUGCACGUGAGUCUGAACCAUCCAGUGCGAAGAAGGGCUGUACCACGGUGUGGUACCACAACAGGGCCAAACUGAGAGAAAAAUUAAAAGGGCUUGUGUGGAGACCCCGAAUCAUCCGAAGAGACCCAGAAAUCCACAGUUAUAAGCACCAGCACUCCCGUCCACACCACCCAAUAGCGAUUCAUCAUCCUUUACAAACAAUGAGUGCUGAUUCCCUGAUCCGGUGUGUGUACAGAGGAGAGGCAGGGCAGAGAUUUUUCUCCAUAUGCUGGCACCACCAAUAGGAAAGUCGAGGAAUAUCUGUGACCUCGGGGAGCUUCAUCAAUCAUUAACCUAUGGCGUGUCCCAGCCCUUCUUGAACUCGUUCUAGAGCAUCCACUCCGACACGACCUCUUCUUCUGAAUCUGAUGCCACCUUCAGAGGUUCCCACAUGAGGAGCACGAAGAUCGCUGCCCUGCCAAACAGCGCCA